rfam:Sorghum bicolor cultivar BTx623 chromosome 3, whole genome shotgun sequence.
CCGGUUCCUGAUGAGGAACUGGUGACGUUCAUCCUGGCCGGACUCGACCUCGACUACAAUCCGCUGGUGUCCUCAGUGCUGGGGCGCGCAACUCCGAUCUCCCUGAGCGAUCUCUAUGCUCAGAUGGUCACCUACGACA